GAUUAACGCUGGCGGCGUGCAUAACACAUUCAAGUCGAACGGAAGAGGGUGCUUCGGUACCUUCUUUAGUGGCGGACGGGUGAGUAACGCGUGAGUAAUCUACCUUCCAGUGCGGAAUAACAACCGGAAACAGUUGCUAAUACCGCAUGAAAUGGCAGCAUCGCAUGGUGCAACCAUAAAAGAUUUAUCGCUGGAAGAUGAGCUUGCGUCCGAUUAGAUAGUUGGCGGAGUAACAGCCCUCCAAGUUGACGAUCGGUAGCCGAACUGAGAGGUUGAACGGCCACAUUGGAACUGAGUUGCGGUCCAGACUACUACGGGAGGCAGCAGUGGGGAAUAUUGGGCAAUGGGCGAAAGCCUGACCCAGCGACGCCGCGUGAGGGAAGAAGAUCUUCGGAUUGUAAACCUUAGUCAACAGGGAAGAAGAAAGUGACGGUACCUGUGGAGGAAGCCACGGCUAACUACGUGCCAGCCGCCGCUGUAAUAC
rnacentral:rRNA from 1 species